rnacentral:rRNA from 1 species
UACGUAGGGUGCGAGCGUUGUCCGGAAUUAUUGGGCGUAAAGAGCUUGUAGGCGGUUUGUCGCGUCUGCUGUGAAAACCCGCAGCUCAACUGUGGGCUUGCAGCUGAUACGGGCGGGCUGGGAUUCGGUAGGGGAGACUGGAAUUCCUGGUGUAGCGGUGAAAUGUGUAGAGAUCGGGAGGAACACCGGUGGCGAAGGCGGGUCUCUGGGCAAUUCCUGACGCUGAGGCGCGAAAGCGUGGGGAGCAAACGGG